GAUGAACGCUGGCGGCGUGCCUAAUACAUGCAAGUCGAGCGAACAGACGAGGAGCUUGCUCCUCUGACGUUAGCGGCGGACGGGUGAGUAACACGUGGAUAACCUACCUAUAAGACUGGGAUAACUUCGGGAUACCGGAGCUAAUACCGGAUAACAUGUUGAACCGCAUGGUUCAACAGUGAAAGACGGUCUUGCUGUCACUUAUAGAUGGAUCCGCGCCGCAUUAGCUAGUUGGUAAGGUAACGGCUUACCAAGGCAACGAUGCGUAGCCGACCUGAGAGGGUGAUCGGCCACACUGGAACUGAGACACGGUCCAGACUCCUACGGGAGGCAGCAGUAGGGAAUCUUCCGCAAUGGGCGAAAGCCUGACGGAGCAACGCCGCGUGAGUGAAGAAGGUCUUCGGAUCGUAAAACUCUGUUAUUAGGGAAGAACAAAUGUGUAAGUAACUAUGCACGUCUUGACGGUACCUAAUCAGAAAGCCACGGCUAACUACGUG
rnacentral:rRNA from 1 species